UGGGGAAUAUUGCACAAUGGGGGAAACCCUGAUGCAGCGACGCCGCGUGAGCGAAGAAGGCUUUCGAGUCGUACAGCUCUGUCCUAUGAGAAGAUAAUGACGGUAUCAUAGGAGGAAGCCCUGGCUAAAUACGUGCCAGCAGCCGCGGUAAUACGUAUGGGGCGAGCGUUGUCCGGAAUUAUUGGGCGUAAAGGGUACGUAGGUGGUUUUUUAAGUCAGGUGUCAAAGCGUGGAGCUUAACUCCAUUAAGCACUUGAAACUGAAAGACUUGAGUGAAGGAGAGGAAAGUGGAAGUCCUAGUGUAGCGGUGAAAUGCGUAGAUAUUAGGAGGAAUACCGGUGGCGAAGUCGACUUUCUGGACUUUUACUGACGCUCAGGUACGAAAGCGUGGGGGGCAAACAGG
rnacentral:rRNA from 1 species